GCCGGGGAUAAAGCUCAGUAGUGGUAGAGUACUUGCCUAGCAUUCUUGAGGCCCUGGGUUCAAUCCCCAAUCCUGCA
rnacentral:tRNA from 1 species